GUGCCAGCAGCCGCGGUAAUACCGGCAGCACGAGUGAUGGCCGAUAUUAUUGGGCCUAAAGCGUCCGUAGCCGGCCGGACAAGUCCGUUGGGAAAUCCACGUGCUCAACGCGUGGGCGUCCAGCGGAAACUGUCCGGCUUGGGGCCGGAAGACCCGAGGGGUACGUCCGGGGUAGGAGUGAAAUCCCGUAAUCCUGGACGGACCACCGAUGGCGAAAGCACCUCGGGAAGACGGACCCGACGGUGAGGGACGAAAGCUGGGGUCUCGAACCGGAUUAGAUACCCCAGUAGUCC
rnacentral:rRNA from 1 species